UGGGGAAUAUUGCACAAUGGGCGCAAGCCUGAUGCAGCCAUGCCGCGUGUGUGAAGAAGGCCUCGGGUUGUAAAGCACUUUCAGCGGGGAGGAAGGCGGUGAGGUUAAUAACCUCACCGAUUGACGUUACCCGCAGAAGAAGCACCGGCUAACUCCGUGCCAG
rnacentral:rRNA from 1 species